UAAGGGCGCACGGUGGAUGCCUUGGCACUAGAAGCCGAUGAAGGACGUUACUAACGACGAUAUGCUUUGGGGAGCUGUAAGUAAGCUUUGAUCCAGAGAUUUCCGAAUGGGGAAACCCAGCAUGAGUUAUGUCAUGUUAUCGAUAUGUGAAUACAUAGCAUAUCAGAAGGCACACCCGGAGAACUGAAACAUCUUAGUACCCGGAGGAAGAGAAAGAAAAUUCGAUUCCCUUAGUAGCGGCGAGCGAAACGGGAAGAGCCCAAACCAACAAGCUUGCUUGUUGGGGUUGUAGGACACUCUAUACGGAGUUACAAAGGACGACAUUAGACGAAUCAUCUGGAAAGAUGAAUCAAAGAAGGUAAUAAUCCUGUAGUCGAAAAUGUUGUCUCUCUUGAGUGGAUCCUGAGUACGACGGAGCACGUGAAAUUCCGUCGGAAUCUGGGAGGACCAUCUCCUAAGGCUAAAUACUCUCUAGUGACCGAUAGUGAACCAGUACCGUGAGGGAAAGGUGAAAAGCACCCCGGAAGGGGAGUGAAAUAGAACCUGAAACCGUGUGCUUACAAGUAGUCAGAGCCCGUUAAUGGGUGAUGGCGUGCCUUUUGUAGAAUGAACCGGCGAGUUACGAUUUGAUGCAAGGUUAAGCAGUAAAUGUGGAGCCGUAGCGAAAGCGAGUCUGAAUAGGGCGUUUAGUAUUUGGUCGUAGACCCGAAACCAGGUGAUCUACCCUUGGUCAGGUUGAAGUUCAGGUAACACUGAAUGGAGGACCGAACCGACUUACGUUGAAAAGUGAGCGGAUGAACUGAGGGUAGCGGAGAAAUUCCAAUCGAACCUGGAGAUAGCUGGUUCUCUCCGAAAUAGCUUUAGGGCUAGCCUCAAGUGAUGAUUAUUGGAGGUAGAGCACUGUUUGGACGAGGGGCCCCUCUCGGGUUACCGAAUUCAGACAAACUCCGAAUGCCAAUUAAUUUAACUUGGGAGUCAGAACAUGGGUGAUAAGGUCCGUGUUCGAAAGGGAAACAGCCCAGACCACCAGCUAAGGUCCCAAAAUAUAUGUUAAGUGGAAAAGGAUGUGGCGUUGCCCAGACAACUAGGAUGUUGGCUUAGAAGCAGCCAUCAUUUAAAGAGUGCGUAAUAGCUCACUAGUCGAGUGACACUGCGCCGAAAAUGUACCGGGGCUAAACAUAUUACCGAAGCUGUGGAUUGUCCUUUGGACAAUGGUAGGAGAGCGUUCUAAGGGCGUUGAAGCAUGAUCGUAAGGACAUGUGGAGCGCUUAGAAGUGAGAAUGCCGGUGUGAGUAGCGAAAGACGGGUGAGAAUCCCGUCCACCGAUUGACUAAGGUUUCCAGAGGAAGGCUCGUCCGCUCUGGGUUAGUCGGGUCCUAAGCUGAGGCCGACAGGCGUAGGCGAUGUAUAACAGGUUGAUAUUCCUGUACCACCUAUAAUCGUUUUAAUCGAUGGGGGGACGCAGUAGGAUAGGCGAAGCGUGCGAUUGGAUUGCACGUCUAAGCAGUAAGGCUGAGUAUUAGGCAAAUCCGGUACUCGUUAAGGCUGAGCUGUGAUGGGGAG
rnacentral:rRNA from 1 species